rnacentral:ncRNA from 1 species
AUUUAUAAAAUAUUUUAUUCUAGUUAUAUAAUUUAUUAUUAAUUUAUUUUACAUGUAAAUUUUUAUGUGAAUGAUAAAAAAUUUUAAAAAUUUUUAUAUUAUUUUAUUCGCAGUAAUUAAUUUUAUUAAUAAAAGAAAUUUUGAAUUAGUAAUAUUAAAAAGUAUUGGUAAAAUUUGUGCCAGCUACCGCGGUUAUACAAAUAAUACAAAUAAAUAAUGUUAGUAUUAGUUAAAUUGAUCAAUAAAAAAAUAUUAUAAAAUUUUUAGGUGAAAUUUUAAUUUUAUAAAUUUUUUAUUUAAAGAAUUAUUUAAGCUAUAAAAUUUUAAAAAUAAACUAGGAUUAGAUACCCUAUUAUUUAAAAUAUAAUAUAGAAAUGCUUGAGUAGUAAUAGUUAUAUUCUUGAAACUUAAAGAAUUUGGCGGUGUUUUAGUCUAUUCAGAGGAAUCUGUUAUGUAAUCGAUAAUCCACGAUGGACCUCACUUAAUUUUGUAAAAUUUGUAUAUCGCCGUCGUCAGAAUGUCUUAGGAGAGAAAAAAUUUUCUUAAAUUAUAAUUUUAAAUGAUGUCAGGUCAAGGUGCAGUUUAUGGUUAAGUAUUAAUGGAUUACAAUAAAUUUAUUUAUAUGGAUAAUUAUUUGAAAUAAUAGUUUAAAAGUGGAUUUGAUAGUAAAAUUUUAAAGAUUAAAAAUUUGAUUUUAGCUCUAAAACAUGCACACAUCGCCCGUCGCUCUCAUUAUUAAAAUGAGAUAAGUCGUAACAUAGUAGAUGUACCGGAAGGUGCAUCUAGAAUGA